CCGGAGCGUCCGCGCCCCCUUCCGCCCUCCCGCACCCUCAGUCCCGCCUCAGGGCCCCGAAGCCGCCCUGGGCGCGCAGCGCAUCCCCAGGCGACUGGAGCCCCAGCCCCGACGCUUCGUCGCCGCAGUCCAGGAGACCGCAGGAGAAGGGGCUCGUGGGGCGGAGACAGCCUGCCGGGGCCUCUGCAGCCCGGGAGCCUCCUUUGGACUCGCCGAACCCGACUCCCAACCCGCCCUUACCACUGCCCAGAGGCUCGCGCGCUGGGUUUCUGAGCCUCCCACCCUGAAGGACACCGAUCUCGCCCGGACAUAACUCAGCAACUGCCUGGUCUGGGCUCCGGACUGCACCGAGCCCGUUACCUGCAGGAGCUCGCGGAGUCCUUUCGGCGCGCGUGGCGCGGGCGCGGUCCUCACCGCGGUGCCGGGAACUGAGUGCUGCGGCCGGUCAGAGGCCUCGUCCUCCGGGGCUUCUCCCUGCCUAGGCGCUACACCCAGGCGCCUCCAACUGGGUCCUGGUCGCAGCCUCCGCAAGAGUGCUGCUUCCAGAAGCCCCACCGUGCAGGCCUCAGUGUGAAUUGGUUCAGUUCAGCAAACUUUUCUUUUAAAAAAUCACCAGGUACUCAGCCAUAAAAAGGAACAAAAUCUUGACCUUAGCCGCAACAUGGAUGCAGCUAGAGGCCAUGUCCUAAGCCAAUUAGCACCAGGAACAGAAAACCAGAUCCUGCAUGUUCUCACUUGCUGAAACUCCAAGCCAAGAGCACAAUAAAGUUUGAAGAGUUCUAUGCAGCAGUUUGGGGACAGGAACCCGUUCCCUCGGAAUUCUUGCUGGGUUUGACCCUUUUAACAGAAGGCGGGGACACUGAUGGCAGCCUCGCAGAUCCAUAUAAACCUCAACGGAGAAGCCCAAACAAGGGAGACACCUUUCUGCUUUUGACCUAACGAGUAAAUCACUGCAUGUCUUUUUCAAAAAAAGGAAUUGCAGGCUGAUUCUGAAUGUCCAGCAGCUUCUGUUGGAACUCAUAGGGCUAAAUGUCUUUCACAGACGGCUUUUAUCUCAGACACGGCUAUAGGCGUGACUUAUUGGUUAUUUCCCCUCUGCCUUCACACUGAUAAAUAAUAAAAUUCUAACAAUCAAAAUGAACAUGUUUUAUUAGCAAAAGAAAAAGCCAAUGGGAGUCUAUAUACAGUACAGAUAUAUCUGUAGUGAAACAUAUUUCACAUUUUAGCCAAUCCAUUGUUCUUUUUAUUGAAAACAGGUUCCUGGAUCUCAUACCAUGGAAUAGCUCAGUAGAUGAAAGAACGAUAUUGAGGCUAGAAUUUUAAAAAAGACCUCUCCAAGCCUUGAUUAAGAAAGAGGGAGAUUCAGUGGAAGGGGAAAGUAGCUAAGAACAUUAGUUAUUAAUUACAAGGAUAACAGGCCGGGCGUGGUGGCUCACGCCUGUAAUCCCAGCACUUUGGGAGGCUGAGGCAGGCAGGUCACCUGAGGUCAAGAGUGUGAGACCAGCUCGGUC
rnacentral:lncRNA from 10 species